UGAAACGAAUGCAGUUGUUGAGAAGGC
rnacentral:piRNA from 1 species